GGUUGGGGCUCAGUGGUAGAGCGCUCACUUAGCACGCAUGGGGCACUGGGUUCAAUCCUCAGCAUCA
rnacentral:tRNA from 1 species